GCAAACUUGGUCAUUUAGAGGAAGUAAAAGUCGUAACAAGGUCUCCGUAGGUGAACCUGCGGAGGGAUCAUUACCGAGCUCUCGCCCCCCGGGGCAGACCUCCCACCCGCUGCCAUCGUUACCGUCGUUGCCUCGGCGGGCCCGCCGGGCCCGCCAGGGGCCCCCCAAACCCUGUGUGUCGGUGUCGUCUGAGCACUAUGCAAUGGAUUAAAACUUUCAACAACGGAUCUCUUGGUUCUGGCAUCGAUGAAGAACGCAGC
rnacentral:misc_RNA from 1 species